rnacentral:rRNA from 3 species
UCUCCGAAAUAGCUUUAGGGCUAGCCUCAAGUGAUGAUUAUUGGAGGUAGAGCACUGUUUGGACGAGGGGCCCCUCUCGGGUUACCGAAUUCAGACAAACUCCGAAUGCCAAUUAAUUUAACUUGGGAGUCAGAACAUGGGUGAUAAGGUCCGUGUUCGAAAGGGAAACAGCCCAGACCACCAGCUAAGGUCCCAAAAUAUAUGUUAAGUGGAAAAGGAUGUGGCGUUGCCCAGACAACUAGGAUGUUGGCUUAGAAGCAGCCAUCAUUUAAAGAGUGCGUAAUAGCUCACUAGUCGAGUGACACUGCGCCGAAAAUGUACCGGGGCUAAACAUAUUACCGAAGCUGUGGAUUGUCCUUUGGACAAUGGUAGGAGAGCGUUCUAAGGGCGUUGAAGCAUGAUCGUAAGGACAUGUGGAGCGCUUAGAAGUGAGAAUGCCGGUGUGAGUAGCGAAAGACGGGUGAGAAUCCCGUCCACCGAUUGACUAAGGUUUCCAGAGGAAGGCUCGUCCGCUCUGGGUUAGUCGGGUCCUAAGCUGAGGCCGACAGGCGUAGGCGAUGGAUAACAGGUUGAUAUUCCUGUACCACCUAUAAUCGUUUUAAUCGAUGGGGGGACGCAGUAGGAUAGGCGAAGCGUGCGAUUGGAUUGCACGUCUAAGCAGUAAGGCUGAGUAUUAGGCAAAUCCGGUACUCGUUAAGGCUGAGCUGUGAUGGGGAGAAGACAUUGAGUCUUCGAGUCGUUGAUUUCACACUGCCGAGAAAAGCCUCUAGAUAGAAAAUAGGUGCCCGUACCGCAAACCGACACAGGUAGUCAAGAUGAGAAUUCUAAGGUGAGCGAGCGAACUCUCGUUAAGGAACUCGGCAAAAUGACCCCGUAACUUCGGGAGAAGGGGUGCUCUUUAGGGUUAACGCCCAGAAGAGCCGCAGUGAAUAGGCCCAAGCGACUGUUUAUCAAAAACACAGGUCUCUGCUAAACCGUAAGGUGAUGUAUAGGGGCUGACGCCUGCCCGGUGCUGGAAGGUUAAGAGGAGUGGUUAGCUUCUGCGAAGCUACGAAUCGAAGCCCCAGUAAACGGCGGCCGUAACUAUAACGGUCCUAAGGUAGCGAAAUUCCUUGUCGGGUAAGUUCCGACCCGCACGAAAGGCGUAACGAUUUGGGCACUGUCUCAACGAGAGACUCGGUGAAAUCAUAGUACCUGUGAAGAUGCAGGUUACCCGCGACAGGACGGAAAGACCCCGUGGAGCUUUACUGUAGCCUGAUAUUGAAAUUCGGCACAGCUUGUACAGGAUAGGUAGGAGCCUUUGAAACGUGAGCGCUAGCUUACGUGGAGGCGCUGGUGGGAUACUACCCUAGCUGUGUUGGCUUUCUAACCCGCACCACUUAUCGUGGUGGGAGACAGUGUCAGGCGGGCAGUUUGACUGGGGCGGUCGCCUCCUAAAAGGUAACGGAGGCGCUCAAAGGUUCCCUCAGAAUGGUUGGAAAUCAUUCAUAGAGUGUAAAGGCAUAAGGGAGCUUGACUGCGAGACCUACAAGUCGAGCAGGGUCGAAAGACGGACUUAGUGAUCCGGUGGUUCCGCAUGGAAGGGCCAUCGCUCAACGGAUAAAAGCUACCCCGGGGAUAACAGGCUUAUCUCCCCCAAGAGUUCACAUCGACGGGGAGGUUUGGCACCUCGAUGUCGGCUCAUCGCAUCCUGGGGCUGUAGUCGGUCCCAAGGGUUGGGCUGUUCGCCCAUUAAAGCGGUACGCGAGCUGGGUUCAGAACGUCGUGAGACAGUUCGGUCCCUAUCCGUCGUGGGCGUAGGAAAUUUGAGAGGAGCUGUCCUUAGUACGAGAGGACCGGGAUGGACAUACCUCUGGUGUACCAGUUGUCGUGCCAACGGCAUAGCUGGGUAGCUAUGUGUGGACGGGAUAAGUGCUGAAAGCAUCUAAGCAUGAAGCCCCCCUCAAGAUGAGAUUUCCCAACUUCGGUUAUAAGAUCCCUCAAAGAUGAUGAGGUUAAUAGGUUCGAGGUGGAAGCAUGGUGACAUGUGGAGCUGACGAAUACUAAUCGAUCGAAGACUUAAUCAA